rnacentral:rRNA from 1 species
UAUAUCAGUCAUGCAUAGCAUAUCAAUAAGCGGAGGAAAAGAAACUAACAAGGAUUCCCCUAGUAACGGCGAGUGAAGCGGGAAGAGCUCAAAUUUGAAAUCUUCAAGGGUUUCCCUUGACGAAUUGUAGUUUAAAGAAGUGUUUUCUGUUAGAGAGGUGGUAAAAGUUCUUUGGAAUAGGACAUCAUAGAGAGUGAGAAUCCCGUAUUUGAUCACUUUCUACUAACGUUGUGAUACACUUUCAAAGAGUCGGAUUGUUUGGGAAUGCAGUCCAAAAUGGGUGGUAAAUUUCAUCUAAAGCUAAAUAUUGGCGAGAGACCGAUAGCGAACAAGUACCGUGAGGGAAAGAUGAAAAGAACUUUGAAAAGAGAGUUAAACAGUACGUGAAAUUGUAAAAAGGGAAGCGUUUGACACCAGUGUUGUUUAGUUGAAAAUCAAUUCAAUAAUUUUUGAUUUUGAGUAGUAUUGACUUCAUCAGCUUGCUGCUUUCUUUUCGGAAAUUAUUGAAUGCACUUUUCAGUUAACAAGUCAACAGUCAAUUUCUUUUGUUGUAAAAGGGUAAGAGGAAGGUGGCUUACGCUUCGGCGUCAAGUGUUUAUAGCCUUUUACCUCUGCAAUCGGAGAGAUUGAGGACAUGCAGCGUAGACUCUUCGGGGUUAGAUACACUUUGUGCUAAGUUAUAGCCUUGUAUAGACAACUUGUUGACUAUACUCAGUCAUGUAGCUUACUCGCAGAUAGUAUUUUACCUACGCUUAGGAUGUUGAUCUCUCACAGUCGAGC